rnacentral:rRNA from 1 species
GACGAACGCUGGCGGCGUGCCUAAUACAUGCAAGUUGAGCGCUGAAGGUUGGUACUUGUACCAACUGGAUGAGCAGCGAACGGGUGAGUAACGCGUGGGGAAUCUGCCUUUGAGCGGGGGACAACAUUUGGAAACGAAUGCUAAUACCGCAUAAAAACUUUAAACACAAGUUUUAAGUUUGAAAGAUGCAAUUGCAUCACUCAAAGAUGAUCCCGCGUUGUAUUAGCUAGUUGGUGAGGUAAAGGCUCACCAAGGCGAUGAUACAUAGCCGACCUGAGAGGGUGAUCGGCCACAUUGGGACUGAGACACGGCCCAAACUCCUACGGGAGGCAGCAGUAGGGAAUCUUCGGCAAUGGACGAAAGUCUGACCGAGCAACGCCGCGUGAGUGAAGAAGGUUUUCGGAUCGUAAAAACUCUGUUGGUAGAGAAGAAACGUUGGUGAGAAGUGGAA